rnacentral:rRNA from 1 species
GCCCGAUGAACCUGAAUAUCCGUUAUGGAAAAUUCAUCAUUAUAAUUGUAAUAUUUAAAUAAUAUUAUAAUAAUAGUGUGCAUUUUUUCCAUAUAAGGACAUUGUAAUCUAUUAACAUAAACCCAAAUUUAUCAUAAAAUAUGACUUAUAGUUUAUUUAAAUUAUUUUGCUUGCAAUUUAACAUAAAAUAAAUGUCAUUAAUUUGAUAAAGUGUUGAUAGAUUUAUAUGAAUACAGUGCGUUAAUUUUUUUAAAAUUAUAUAAUAGCAUGAUUAUCAUUGAUUUUCUAUGUUUAUUAUAUGCACUUGUAUGAUUAACAAUGCGAAAGAUUCAGGAUACUUCGGG